GACGAACGCUGGCGGCGUGCUUAACACAUGCAAGUCGAACGGAAAGGCCCUGCUUUUGUGGGAUGCUCGAGUGGCGAACGGGUGAGUAACACGUGAGUAACCUGCCCUUGACUUUGGGAUAACUUCAGGAAACUGGGGCUAAUACCGGAUAGGAGCUCCUGCUGCAUGGUGGGGGUUGGAAAGUUUCGGCGGUUGGGGAUGGACUCGCGGCUUAUCAGCUUGUUGGUGGGGUAGUGGCUUACCAAGGCUGUGACGGGUAGCCGGCCUGAGAGGGUGACCGGCCACAUUGGGACUGAGAUACGGCCCAGACGCCUACGGGAGGCAGCAGUGGGGAAUAUGGCACAAUGGGCGGAAGCCUGAUGCAGCAACGCCGCGUGCGGGAUGACGGUUUUCGGGUUGUAAACCGCUUUCGCCUGUGACGAAGCGUGAGUGACGGUAAUGGGUAAAGAAGCACCGGCUAACUACGUG
rnacentral:rRNA from 1 species